rnacentral:lncRNA from 1 species
CCAGUUUUUAGGUUAAUUUCUGGGUUUACUAUCAAUGCAUCAUUCAGUUUAUUUAAAUUUGGACCACAUAUCUAACAGUGGUUUAGGACUUGAGUUUUUCUUUUUGCCAGUAAUUUUCUCUCUUUUGAUUCAAAGCUGAAGACAUGAGAUACAUUGCUUUAUGGAUAAUAGCUACUUUUUCUAACCCAUGAGGAUAAAAUGAAAUCUGAAUUCCAACUGCUCCCCACCAUGUUGUUUUUAAAUGAGCAUUACAGUUUUAGCACUGGGCUUAUAGGAUUCUAUGCCUUCUCUAACACCUGAGGGUUGGCACUGAAUUACUUUUAGAUUAUUGUCCUUGUACUGAUGUUAUUUCUCCUUUCUAUGGAGAUCUCUUGUCUUAUUGUGAUUUAUUUAAUAUUUUCCAUUUUAUCCAGAAUUUUUAGGUACUUAAAAUACAAAGUUCAUCAGUUCAGUAUUCAUGAUGCAAAACGUUGGCCUCAGAGUUUUCUGUAGUAACAUUUAGUAAAAGAAAACAAAAGAAUAUUGUCAACAUAGCUCUAAAGUAAAUAAGUCUAGUAAUUUUAUUAGAAUAUGUUCCAGUGUGCUUCUUUUGGAUCAAUUUCUCAGGUAGGUGCUGUGCCUAUUCAAUUUGCAGUUCUAAUUUUUUACAGUGGACACUUGACCUACAAACUUGAUUCAUUCCCGAGGGCUGGUUGUAACUCAAGUUGGUCAAUAAAGGCUUAGACUCCUCUACACAGCCUUCAAAGUUUCUCUCCUGUACACAGGCAGGUCUCAGUGUCCUUAGAGAGACAUUGUCCCAGGAUUUCUCAGCUCCACACAGGAAAGGACGUUGUAUGUAUUAUAAAAAAGAUAUUACAGUUUUGGGAAGUAUUCUCUCAAUUAUUUUUGUUACAUUUAUUCUAUUUCUUUGCUUUGUUUGAGACUAUUAUACAUCUGUUGAAUCAUCU